CUAGUGAUCUAUCAGAGAUUUAUUGUCGUACAUACAAUAUUUUAUUGGCAGCGAUUGAAAUGACCAACUUUGUUCCAUAUACAUGUAUUGCUAUUUGAUGAAAGACCUUGAUAUUUAAUUGUAGUUGCUCCAUAGAUGGCAGAACUUGCAUAAUUAUUCUAUCUAGAAUCUGGAUGUCAUUUAUGCCGAUAUACUGUGUAGAUGAUAUACAAUUUAAAUGUUACCGCCUAUACCUUGGUUCUUUUCACUUUUCCAGGUGUACUAUUAACCCAGGAGAAAACGAGGGUUUGGUCAGAUAUGCUUUGGAUACAUACAAAUUCCUGUCACUAGGAUCACAGCACCCAAAAGUUGGAGGACCUGGUAUUAUUGGCUCGUGUAAGCUGCCCAACAAGGCAUAUACUGAGGAGUGGUUGACGGAGCAUGAAGCACAACUUGUCCAGAGGUUUGAUCCGUCAUCAUCGCUGGAUACUAUGGGUUUCUUCAUUGCGAAGUUCAAUGUUGGAGAAAAGGAGGACUGAGCAAAAAGUCUUUUUAGCUCUACAUUGUUCUAGUGAAAUCACUAGACGAUUAUGGUUUGA